GUGCCCUUAGCUCAGCUGGAUAGAGCGUUUGACUACGGAUCAAAAGGUCGGGAGUUCAAAUCUUCCAGGGCACG
rnacentral:tRNA from 1 species